UGCCAGCCGCCGCGGUAAUACAGAGGGUGCAAGCGUUAAUCGGAUUUACUGGGCGUAAAGCGUGCGUAGGCGGUUCAGUAUGUCGGUCGUGAAAUCCCCGGGCUUAACCUGGGAACUGCGGCCGAAACUGCUGGGCUUGAGUGUGGUAGAGGAAGGUGGAAUUCCAGGUGUAGCGGUGAAAUGCGUAGAUAUCUGGAGGAACACCGAUGGCGAAGGCAGGUCUCUGGGCAUUAACUGACGCUGAGGAGCGAAAGCAUGGGGAGCGAACAGGAUUAGAUA
rnacentral:rRNA from 1 species